UACGUAGGGGCCUAGCGUUGUCCGGAAUCAUUGGGCGUAAAGAGCUCGUAGGCGGUUCGGCAAGUCACGUGUGAAAUCUCCACGCUUAACGUGGAGGCGCCACGUGAAACUGCCGUGACUCGAGUCCGGUAGGGGAGUGUGGAAUUCCCGGUGUAGCGGUGAAAUGCGCAGAUAUCGGGAGGAACACCAGUAGCGAAGGCGGCACUCUGGGCCGGUACUGACGCUGAGACGCGAAAGCGUGGGGAGCGAACAGG
rnacentral:rRNA from 1 species